GACGAACGCUGGCGGCGUGCUUAACACAUGCAAGUCGAACGAAGUGGCGAACGGGUGAGUAAUACGUGGGUAACCUGCCCACCUGUUUGGGAUAAGCCUUGGAAACGGGGUCUAAUACCGAAUAAAGGGGGAUGGGUGGGCGGCCUAUCAGCUUGUUGGUGGGGGGGUGGCCGACCAAGGCGGUGACGGGUAGCCGGCCUGGGAGGGUGACCGGGAACAUCGGGACUGAUGUACGGGCGAGGCUCCUACGGGGGGCAGCAGGGGGGGAUAUAGCACAAUGGGCGAAAGCCGCAUGCGUCGACUGCGGGUGGGCGAUGAAGGAUUUCGGGUUAUAAACCUCUUUCGCUAUCGAACGGGUAGGUGAAAAAGCGCCGGCUAACUACGUGCCAGCAGCCGCGGUAAUUC
rnacentral:rRNA from 1 species